AACAACAACAACAACAGUAGCCAACAAGACAAAAGCUACAAGCUAACGGCGAAAAUGUUGACUGAACGUCUCCUAAACAGAGUCAGUGAAUGCAGCACCAUACAGACAGUGAUGGAGAUGAGCCACAUCACAUGGACUGUGAAAGGAAUGACACUUCCAGUGUCAGUAUGGACUUUCAUAUUAGAUGUUCUGCUGCCUCAGUGGAUGAGAUGAUGGAGAUGGAGGAACAUCCUACAGAACUGAUACCAACACCUCCUCUGCGCUGAUGCUGCUGGGUGUAGUCAGUGAAUGCAGCACCAUACAGACAGUGAUGGAGAUGAGCCACAUCACAUGGACUGUGAAAGGAAUGACACUUCCAGUGUCAGUAUGGACUUUCAUAUUAGAUGUUCUGCUGCCUCAGUGGAUGAGAUGAUGGAGAUGGAGGAACAUCCUACACAACUGAUACCAACACCUCCUCUGCGCUGAUGCUGCUGGAUUGCGAGGAUGAAGUCCUGGAAAUGGAGGACCAUCAUACAGACCUACUGAUGCUGCUGGGUUUUGACGACGGCAGCGGCUGGCCCCUGACUCAAGUUAUGUUAUUUGUUGCCCCUGUGGGUAAGAAAUAGCAUUUCUUGGGUGUGAAAGGGGGGGUGCAGAAGUGGUUUUUUUUCACCUGUUUCCUGUCUUUUUCAAUAAAAAUUUUUGUACACCCCCCUGGUUUUCACAUGAGGGCUCAUUAUGAGCCCCUAGUUUCAUCACACCCUUACCAAGCAAGCCCAGGAAUCAAACCACCGGCCAGCCUCACAGUAGUCAGUUGUGUUUGUGCCACCGACCUUCUGACUGAGCUAUCUGUGAGCUACUAAAGAAGUGUUCGGAACUUGUAUUUAUUGUGUGUUUUUUUGGCCCUGAAAGUGUGUAAAAGCUCAAGUGUUUUCUGUGGGUCUUGAACUAACUACCUUUGAGUGCAGGGGAUGAGUCUUGCACAAGUUUUAACCACUGAGCUAUUCUAUCAACUGAUACUUUAAAUUUGGAAGUUGUAUUUAUUGUGUUUGCUUCCGCUCCUAUGAUUUUUGGGUGAAAAGCAAGUACCAGAGCAGGACUUGAUCUCACAACCUUGAAAUCUAUAGUGAAAGUGUGCCUUUUGCCUGAUGCUUAGACCACUGAGCUAAACUUAAGGCUAGGAAGUUCGAGUCAAUUUCCAAGUAUAAGAAAUGUAUACAGCUGAAACCCUGAGGAGCGAGAAGGGACAGAAAUUUUGAAAAAAUAGAUCCCGCUGUGGGAUUUGAACCCACAAUCUCAAAAGUUGUAGGAUUGUGUGACAGUUGUCCCAUCUCUUAACCACUGUGCUACAGCUGAAUUGCUGAUGUGAGAGGUUUUUUUUUGGUAUUUGACAUGUGAACUUGAACUGUGAGGACAGACUCUGCUCCAUCUCCAAGUAGGGUCUAGGCCUUUGGCUCAAACAGGUCAGGAAGGGGAACUGAACCAGACUGAACAUCAUGUGAAGUCUGUGAUACAGACAACUCACCACUACACCAGCCUAGCCUGCCAUGUGACAGAGUCUGGUCCACACCAGCUCUGAAUGGAAAGUGUCCUGACAUUACUUCUGUUAUGAUUUGAUGCUUUAUCAAUAAAAUUGGAUUUGGAUUAUUGAACUGGUUCAGUGUUUUCUCCAUGAAGACUGAUGUUUGUAGUGCUGUCAGAGGUUUAAUGUAUUACCCGCAUAUAUUUUUUUGUUAGUGUUUCUGUAAAGUCCUGUACCAGUUUUAGAGCACUGAGAUUUUACUAGUUAGUAUUAGUUGAUUUGUCCACUUAUUAUUUUUUGGGUAAGAGUCAUCGCAGACUCUAUCACAUGGCAGGUUAGGCUGGUGUAGUGGUGAGUUGUGUAAAAGCUUAAAUGUUUUUUGCAGGUCUUGAACUAGCUCCCUUUCAGUGUAGGGGUUGAGUCUCAUACUGGUCUUAAACACUGAGCUAUUCUGUCAGCUAUUGAGAAAGUGUUCGGAACUUGUAUUUAUCGUGUGUCUUUUUGGACCUGAACGUGUGUAAAAGCUCAAGUGUUCUCUGUGGGUCUUGAACUAACUACCUUUAAGGUGUAGGGGAUGAGUCUUGCACUAGUUUUAACCACUGUGCUUUUCCAUCAGCUGAUACUGCAAAUUUGGAAGUUGUAUUUAUUGUGUUUGCUUCCGCUCCUCUGUUGUUUGAGUGAAAAGUAAGUACUAGAGCAGGACUUGAUCUCACAACCUUGGUAUCUGUAGUGAAAGUGUGCCUUUAGCCUGAUGCUUAGACCACUGAGCUAAACUCAAGGUUAGGAAAUUGGAGUCAAUUUCCAAGUGUAAGAAAUGUAUACAGCUGAAACCCUGAGGUGUGAAAAGGAAUGAAAAUUUUGAUCCUGGUGUGGGAUUUGAAUCCACAAUCUCAGAAGUUGUAGGGUUGUGUGACAGUUGUCCCAUUCUUUAACCACUGUGCUACAGCUGAAUUGCUGAUGUGAGAGGGUUUAUUUUUGGUAUUUGACAUGUGAACUUGAAGUGUGAGGACAGACUCUGCUCCAUCUCCGAGUAGGGUCUAGGCCUUUGGCUCAAAGAGGUCAGGAAGGGGAACUGAACCAGACUGAAAGUCAUGUGAAGUCUGUGAUACAGACAACUCACCACUACACCAGCCUAACCUGCCAUGUGAUAGAGUCUGCGAUGACUGUUACCCAAAAAAUAAUAAGUGGACCAAUCAACUAAUACUAACUAGUAAAAUCUCAGUGCUCUAAAACUGGUACAGGACUUUACAGAAACACUAACAAAAAAUAUAUAUGCGGGUAAUACAUUAAACCUCUGACAGCACUGUGAAUGUCAGUUUGGAAUAAUCCAAAUCCAAUUUUAUUGAUAAAGCAUCAAAUCAUAACAGAAGUAAUGUCAGGACACUUUCCAUUCAGAGCUGAUGUUGACCAGACUCUGUCACAUGGCAGGUUAGGCUGGUGUAGUGGUGAGUUGUCUGUAUCACAGACUUCACAUGACUUUCAGUCUGGUUCAGUUCCCCUUCCUGACCUGUUUGAGCCAAAGGCCUAGACCCUACUCGGAGAUGGAGCAGAGUCUGUCCUCACAGUUCAAGUUCACAUGUCAAAUACCAAAAAAAAACCUCUCACAUCAGCAAUUCAGCUGUAGCACAGUGGUUAAGAAAUGGGACAACUGUCACACAAUCCUACAACUUCUGAGAUUGUGAAUUCAAAUCCCACACCAGGAUCAAAAUUUUCAUCCCUUCUCACACCUCAGGGUUUCAGCUGUAUACAUUUCUUAUACUUGGAAAUUGACUCCAUCUUCCCAACCUUGAGUUUAGCUCAGUGGUCUAAGCAUCAGGCAAAAGGCACACUUUCACUACAGAUGCCAAGGUUGUGAGAUCAAGUCCUGCACUAGUACUUACUUUUCACUCAAAAAACAGAGGAGCAGAAGCAAACACAAUAAAUGCAACUUCCAAAUUUGCAGUAUCAGCUGAUGGAAAAGCUCAGUGGUUAAAACUAGUGCAAGACUCAUCCCCUACACCUUAAAGGUAGUUAGUUCAAGACCCACAGAGAACACUUGAGCUUUUACAUAUUUUCAGGUCCAAAAAAAUACACAAUAAAUACAAGUUCCGAACACUUCCUCAAUAGCUGACAGAAUAGCUCAGUGAUUAAGACCAGUAUGAGACUCAACCCCUACACUGAAAGGGAGCUAGUUCAAGACCUGCAAAGAACAUUUAAGUUUUUACACAACUCACCACUACACCAGCCUAACCUGCCAUGUGAUAGAGUCUGCGAUGACUGUUACCCAAAAAAUAAUAAGUGGACCAAUCAACUAAUACUAACUAGUAAAAUCUCAGUGCUCUAAAACUGGUACAGGACUUUACAGAAACACUAACAAAAAAAUAUAUGCGGGUAAUACAUUAAACCAAUGACAGCACUACAAACAUCAGUCUUCAUGGAGAAAACACUGAACUUUGGAUUUGGAAUAAUCCAAAUCCAAUUUUAUUGAUAAAGCAUCAAAUCAUAACAGAAGUAAUGUCAGGACACUUUCCAUUCAGAGCUGGUGUGGACCAGACUCUGUCACAUGGCAGGUUAGGCUGGUGUAGUGGUGAGUUGUCUGUAUCACAGACUUCACAUGACUUUCAGUCUGGUUCAGUUCCCCUUCCUGACCUGUUUGAGCCAAAGGCCUAGACCCUACUCGGAGAUGGAGCAGAGUCUGUCCUCACAGUUCAAGUUCACAUGUCAAAUACCAAAAAAAAACCUCUCACAUCAGCAAUUCAGCUGUAGCACAGUGGUUAAGAAAUGGGACAACUGUCACACAAUCCUACAACUUUUGAGAUUGUGGGUUCAAAUCCCACAGCGGGAUCUAUUUUUUCAAAAUUUCCGUCCCUUCUCGCUCCUUGGGGUUUCAGCUGUAUACAUUUCUUAUACUUGGAAAUUGACUCCAACUUCCUAACCUUGAGUUUAGCUCAGUGGUCUAAGCAUCAGGCAAAAGGCACACUUUCACUAUAGAUUCCAAGGUUGUGAGAUCAAGUCCCGCUCUGGUACUUGCUUUUCACCCAAAAAACAGAGGAGCGGAAGCAAACACAAUAAAUACCACUUCCAAAUUCACAAUCUCAACUGAUAGAAUAGCUCAGUGGUUAAAACUAGUGCAAGACUCAUCCCCUGCACUCAAAGGUAGUUAGUUCAAGACCCACAGAGAACAUGUGAGCUUUUACACACUUUGAGGGCCAAAAAAAUACAAUAAAUACAAGUUCCGAACACUUCUUUAGUAGCUCACAGAUAGCUCAGUCAGAAGGUCGGUGGCACAAACACAACUGACUACUGUGAGGCUGGCCGGUGGUUCGAUUCCUGGGCUUGCUCGGUAAGGGCGCGAUGAAACUAGGGCCUCAUAAUGAGCCCUCACAUGAAAACCAGGGGGGUGUACAAAAAUUUUUAUUGAAAAAGACAGGAAACAGGUGAAAAAAAUACUUCUGCACCACCCCUUUCACACCCAAGAAAUGCUAUUUCUUACCCACAGGGGCAACAAAUAACAUAACUUGAGUCAGGGGCCAGCCGCUGCCGCAGUAGUCCUCGUCGUCGCUGCCGCCGCCGCCAUCACAACCUGGAAGAAAAACAACACAAAAACUCAACAUAACCUUCAAAAAAACACACCAAUAGCAUUACACAGACAAUUCAACUCAGUUACGUCACAUUAGGAAAACUACUCAAUAGCUUCAAAACACAACCAAUACAAAUACACUUUCAAAAAACACAAGACAUUCAUGGAACCUCAAAUACUAAACAAACACUAAUCAUUACUCUAAAACACCAGCUCCUCAUCAUCUCCUGCUCCAUAACCCCUCCCUGACACAUCUCAGGAAACGCAGAGGGGUCUAGGCCCCCUCCGCCCCUCCCUCUCCGUCCGCUCCCGAUACUCAGCUCCCCCGAGUCUUGAACCUUCAACCUGCCGAUGACAGGCGGCCGGACAACAGCCAAGGACCAAGCCACUGAGCCACCGAGCACCGGGGCACUAACGCCUCCUGUCUCACUGCUUUUCACACAACUGCACAGGACCACAGGCCCAACAACACAUCACAUCAAACAAAAACAUCACAUUUCCAUCUCAUCUGUUUCACUGGAACUAAUUCACUCAGCUUUUACACAACACUAAUCUCUCACACAUUAACACUCACAACCACACUGUACAAAACCUCACACUCCUCUAAAACCCUUCCAAAUAAAACAUACUAUUUCAUCCAAUUUAACUCAGACAGUCAGGAAUGCAUAUUUCUGGAAACCAACAGUCAACCUGGACUAUGUCUGCAUUAGAAACCAAAUCAAACUUACAAAUCUGGGAGAACAACCAUUUCACAAACUACACACCUGCUACUACUACCUCAAUUCAGCAAAUAAACCAUCUGACAAAAACGCGUCUCAUCCAUUUAACUGGGCCUUUAUGGGACAAAUUCACAGUCAGAUUUUAGACAGCAGACAUCUGAGUCAUUAACACACACAACCAGACUGUAGAAAACCUGGAUAAAUCUAACUCUCACAAAUGCUACAAAAAAAUAUUCAGAAAACAGUUGGACAAAUUCAUAGAUAAACAUAAACUACUCACUCAAAGUCAGUACUGAUUCAGACCAAACAGAGCAACUUCUCUGGCAUUAAUAGAGUCAACAGAGGAAACUACCAACUCAGUAGAACAAAACCACCACACAGUUGGAGCAUUCAGUGGCCUCAAAAAAGCUUUUCAGUAAUAAAGAUAAAAUAUCUCACCCAGCAGCAUCAGUAGGUCUGUAUGAUGGUCCUCCAUUUCCAGGACUUCAUCCUCGCAAUCUACAAGUGGGACAAAAGAAUUACUGACAUUACUUUGACAUCCUACAGAGAACAUGUGGAAUGAGAAGGACCAUCUAUUCUAUGAAAGGCAGAGGGGAAGAGUAAGGUGUGGAGCCACUUCACAAAAGACUCCACAGGCACUAGAUGCAACAUCUGCAGUGCAAGAGUUAGCCAGGGCUCCAGCACCAGCAAAGCAAAGAACACUACAAAUGUUCUUAUUUAUCAUUGUGUUUACAGUUUGCCUUGUCUUAUUUAUCAUUGUUUGUAGUUUGCCUUUGCCUUUUCUUAUUUAUCAGUGGGUUUACAGUCCUUAUGUUGACAGUGUUACUAAUUAAAGUUCCUUAUUUUAAUUUAGUAGUCUUCUGCUUCUUUGUGUUGAUUCAUAUUUUGGGUAUUAUAAUAAUUUAUGUUCAUGUAC